rnacentral:rRNA from 1 species
GACGAACGCUGGCGGCGUGCUUAACACAUGCAAGUCGAACGGAAAGGCCCUGCUUUUGUGGGGUGCUCGAGUGGCGAACGGGUGAGUAACACGUGAGUAACCUGCCCUUGACUUUGGGAUAACUUCAGGAAACUGGGGCUAAUACCGGAUAGGAGCUCCUGCUGCAUGGUGGGGGUUGGAAAGUUUCGGCGGUUGGGGAUGGACUCGCGGCUUAUCAGCUUGUUGGUGGGGUAGUGGCUUACCAAGGCUUUGACGGGUAGCCGGCCUGAGAGGGUGACCGGCCACAUUGGGACUGAGGUACGGACCAGACUCCAACGGGGGGCAGCAGUGGGGAAUAUUGCACAAUGGGCGGAAGCCUGAUGCAGCAACGCCGCGUGCGGGAUGACGGCCUUCGGGUUGUAAACCGCUUUCGCCUGUGACGAAGCGUGAGUGACGGUAAUGGGUAAAGAAGCACCGGCUAACUACGUG